GGGGGCGAACCAGAUUCGACGUGAACGGUGUCGUCCCGGUGUUGCGAGUCGAGGAUCCUGGGUUGGCCUCGUUAAACCCCCCGGGAAAACCAAUAAGUGCGGACUCUCACGAGUUCGCUCUCGCUGCUUAAUAGGUAGUUGAGAGCAGUCGCUCCGGAUGGCCCAUGAUCCGGGUAGCGGCUUCAACAGUGGGCUAACCCACCGGCAGUUUCCUCGGUCGGCUGGGGACAUCAACAGGAGGAUUUGGCGCCGGCAACGUGCCCCUCGGAUUGACCGAGCCGGAGGCCGAGAUUGACUCCGCAGGGAACACUCGUUGACGCAUCGGGUCGUCCUUCGCGGACGCCGGGGCAGUACCGGCCGCCUCCACUA
rnacentral:tmRNA from 1 species